rnacentral:lncRNA from 1 species
UGAAAAAUCAAAACAAAGGUAUAUUCCCACAAAAGGGAGUGGUGGAGAGAGAUUAGGAGACAGUGAUAAGCCAAGGUUGGGGCAUGUGAUACCAGGAAAACCAUGGGUUGGGUCAGGAUAUCGGGGCUGGCUCAGGCAAAGCUGAUGUGGCAAGAUCUGGCUGUGCCCUAUAAAUCCAGCCCCAGCCUCAGCAUUGUAUAUUGACCCUGCCUGAAGGACUGAGUACCCUGUUGCAAAGAAGAAGCCAUGAAGGAAGAGAUCUGUGUUGCAUUCCUGGCUGUUUGUCUCCUUGUGCUUGGAGGCACUAAGGCAGCUCCCCUGGACUCUAACAGCUUUAAUGGGAACAGUGCUGGGGAUGGCAGCUUCAACAACAAUGGGGUGAGUAUGAAGGGAUAUGUGGCAGAAUAUGGAAGGGGAGAAAGAACAUAUCUCAGAAAACUGGAGUGAUAAAACAUGUAUGUUGGGAGAUAAAUGGUUGACUGAGCCAGGAGAACUUGGGAAGAAGGUGGAUUCCACAAAUACCUAACAUCAGGGCCCCAGGAGAUGCACAGGAUAAUCCGUAAGCACCUAUACACCUCUCUUUCUCGCUCUUCCUUGCAGAAUGGCUUCGAGCCCCCAGUCAUCUAUGUGAGUAUUGCAACAGACCACAGUGUCUAUCGCAUCAGAAACUAACAGGCAGUUGCCCUUUCUCUGUGCUCCCAAGGCUGGGUGUGGGGGAACAAAACCAGGAGCAUCCUAGCCCUGAGGAGGCAGCCCUGGCCUGAGCCCUAUCUGCUGCCUCAUGAUGGAUCUGGUUUGUGAAAGAGAUGAGCGGACCUCUGGAACAUCCCCUGUCCCAGUCCAACUGUUUUCCCCAGGGUCUACACCCUUCCCCUCCCCCUCUUCUUCCCCUAAAUGGUUGCACAUAGACAUAACUCUGCUCAUGACCUGAGCUCUUUCCUCUGACCUGGCUUCAGGGCCCUUAACAACCUGGGAGAUAUAGGGAGUGUAUGAAGGGGAUAGAUUUUGUGGUGAGAGCAAAGUAGCAUCCUCAUAACACUCUGCUCUCUCAUCUUUUCAGGAUCCUGUGGGUGAUGCAGGGGUAAGUGUUUCCACUCUCAAGCAGCCAUUCUUCCAUUACCAUCCCACACAGAGAUCUUGGGUUUUCUUUGCCAUGUGGUACACAGGAGAAAGGGCACCAGGAGCCCCUUGGUAGCCCCACUAUAACAGUGUUUGUUUUUCAGAACCAUGGCAGCUUCAACUGGAAUAGGGUUGGUGACCGCAGCUUCAAUGACAAUGGGGUAAGAAUUGAGGUCCUCCCUGGGAUAACUAAGGAGGGAUUUGGGGGAGGUAACCCACAAUGUAUUCAGUUUCUCCUUUGCUUAGGGUAAGGCUUGGCCCCUAACCUCUUGCACACUCUUCAAGGACUGUGUCAGGACAUUAUUGAAAGUGUCACCACAUGGAAACC